UUACGGCCAUAUCACGUUCAAGCACCAGUUCCCGUACGAUCACCGAAGUUAAGUAACGUCGAGACUGGUUAGUACCUAGAUGGGUGACUGCUUUCAGAAUACCAGAUGCCGUAAG